rnacentral:rRNA from 1 species
GGGUUGUGAGGUUAAGCGACUAAGCGUACACGGUGGAUGCCCUGGCAGUCAGAGGCGAUGAAGGACGUGCUAAUCUGCGAUAAGCGUCGGUAAGGUGAUAUGAACCGUUAUAACCGGCGAUUUCCGAAUGGGGAAACCCAGUGUGAUUCGUCACACUAUCAUUAACUGAAUCCAUAGGUUAAUGAGGCGAACCGGGGGAACUGAAACAUCUAAGUACCCCGAGGAAAAGAAAUCAACCGAAAUUCCCCCAGUAGCGGCGAGCGAACGGGGAGCAGCCCAGAGCCUGAAUCAGUGUGUGUGUUAGUGGAAGCGUCUGGAAAGGCGCGCGAUACAGGGUGACAGCCCCGUACACAAAAAUGCACAUA